rnacentral:rRNA from 1 species
UACGUAGGUGGCAAGCGUUGUCCGGAUUUACUGGGCGUAAAGAGCGCGCAGGCGGUCGUUCAAGUCGCGUGUGAAAGCCCCCGGCUCAACUGGGGAGGGUCACGCGAUACUGAUCGACUCGAAGGCAGGAGAGGGUAGUGGAAUUCCCGGUGUAGCGGUGAAAUGCGCAGAUAUCGGGAGGAACACCGAUGGCGAAGGCAGGUCUCUGGGCCAUAACUGACGCUGAGAAGCGAAAGCAUGGGGAGCGAACAGG